AAGUUCGUCAUGUACGUAAUAAUUAAAAAGUAUAAGUGCACAUUUUAAAAACUCUGUGAAACCAGUGCAGUAUUUCCUAAAAUGAGUACCUACUGCUCAGCAAGACAAUUAAAUAUCUACAAUAAUAAGCAGAAAACGUCGUUAUAGAUCUUGGUUAAAACAGAUCCCCAGUGACAUGAUUUAAUUAAUAAACUAAUUAAAUCGUGGAUAAGAAACUUCGACGAGAAGAAGAAUUGAUUUAUAUCAUCAAUAAUCGUAGUAAAAAAGGUCUUAAUUUAUUUCAAUU